AUUAAAUUGUUUGUUUAAAACUUAUACUGUGUGUGUAUGUAUGUGUGUAUUUAUAUAUUAGUCUUUUGUCUGGUGAAAAAAAUUUCCCUGGAACCUAACCCCCCCCCCCCAUUUACAUUUAAUUCUUAUGGGUAAAUUGGAUUUACUUAAUGGCAUUUAGCUUAAAGUCGCAUUUUUCAGGAACGUAACUACAACGUUAAGCGAGGAGUUACUGUACAUGAUUUUUGGUGUCUAGCAGUUAUGAAUUUAAGUUCCCAAGCUUGUCUUUUGAAAGUGUUGUGCAGGUUUCCUUUGAGGAUGAGGACAGAGAAGUCAGUUACGGAGUGAUUAUUUUGUGAAAAGUGUUCACCCACCCCAAACACAUCACCAAACUCAACCAUUUAAUCCUCAUCCAUAACAAUUUUACAUUCAACAACAAAUAAUUUACCCAAACCAUGGGAACAGCCAUGAGUACUGGGAUGGCUCCCCAAUACAUCAACCUUUUCAGGACUACCUUAAGGAAGAAUUUCUGGACAAAUGCACUACAAAAUCAAUGAUAUACCUGAGAUAUAUUGAUAAUAUAUUCAUUUGCUGGACAGAUGACCAGAAGAACUCUGUGUAAGCUCAAAAGCUUGUCUCUUUCACCAACAGAAGUUGGUCCAAUAUAUUAUUUCAUACACCUUGUUUCGCUAAUAUCCUGGGACCAACAAGGCUACAACAACACUCCUAAUAAUAUAUGUUCCUGUAUAGUGUAUAAUAAUGACAUGACAGAAUGUAACCGGGUAUAGCAGGGCCCCCUUUGCUCCUGCCUCUGCUCUGCUCCAAAAACCAUUCAGAGACCUUGUGGCUUAGCAAUCACCGGUGCAGUUUAUUUACAGCAUGCAAUCGCACCACACACAGCUUGGGGGUUUCAGCCUUAAGGACUCAAUUUCUACAACCAAGCCACUCCUACUCUCCUUCCACUCUCUGACUUCCCCCUUUCCGUCUGUCCCCUUGGCUUCUUUCCUCUGAGGUGUUUAUGCAGCCCCAGGCUAGUUAGGCUGGCAGCUGUUUCCCCUUUGCCAAUUAGGCACAGGUUUCUCUAGCCAGCUCCAAUCUACCUCCUGUAAUUGGAGCUGGCGUGACAGAGGACUAGCUCAGCAGUUCAUACCCAGCACCCUGUCACAUAGAAAUAGGAUAAAAUCAGUGCGAGUAAGAAGCAGUCUUUCUUCUGAAUUACACCAAAAAAACAAAAAAUUUAAACCUGGUUCUCUCAGCCAGGUUUUAACAAUCUUGUCUUUUGUUCACCCAAGCAUGAUUGUCCUUACGCACUGUUUUUUUCAUAAGCAAAAGGUAGUGAAAAUUAGAACAAGAUUUUGAACAAAAAUCACGUUUCAUAUGGCAUAUGUUUAUACAGAAAUUCAUGCCAGUAAUUGGUAAAUUAUAAUGAAUUAGGAGUUUGUUGACUUUCAUACCUCUGGAAGUAUCAAUAUAAUUACUGGUAAAUAUAAAAAUAUUUUCUAAUUGUCUGAAUCAUAUAUGUAAUAAUUUUGUAAGUGAUUGGACCUGAUUGGGGUGGUGUUCUGGUUCCCCCAACCCCGAGUUUUAUUUUGGAAUAAAUGUUUGUAAUGUGAGACACUUAAAA